UUAGUACUCCCUCUGUCUCAAAAUUCUUGUCUUAAAUUUAUGUAGAUAUGAAUGUAUCUAGUCACGUUUUGUAUUUAGAUACAUUCAUUUCUACACAACCCUAAGACAAAUUUUUUGGGACGGAGGGAGUAUGUU
rfam:Hordeum vulgare subsp. vulgare, WGS project CAJW01000000 data, contig: morex_contig_222081